AAUAUUUGACAAUGGGCGCAAGCCUGAUCCAGCCAUGCCGCGUGAGUGAUGAAGGCCUUAGGGUUGUAAAGCUCUUUCACCGAUGAAGAUAACGACGGUAGCCGGAGAACAAGCCCCUGCUAACUUCGUGCCCGCAGCCGCGGUAAUUCGAAGGGGGCUAGCGUUGUUCGGGUUUACUGGGCGUAAAGCGCACGUAGGCGGAUUGGUCAGUUAGAGGUGAAAUCCCGAAGCUCAAAUUCGGAACUGCCUUUAAUACUGCCAGUCUCGAGUCCGGAAGAGGUAAGUGGAACUCCUAGUGUAGAGGUGGAAUUCGUAGAUAUUAGGAAGAACACCAGUGGGGAAGGCGGCUUACUGGUCCGGAACUGACGCUGAGGUGCGAAAGCGUGGGGAGCAAACAG
rnacentral:rRNA from 1 species